ACGCUCGACACCUACGGGAGGCAGCAGUGAGGAAUAUUGGUCAAUGGGCGCUAGCCUGAACCAGCCAAGUAGCGUGAAGGAUGAAGGCUCUAUGGGUCGUAAACUUCUUUUAUAUAAGAAUAAAGUGCAGUAUGUAUACUGUUUUGUAUGUAUUAUAUGAAUAAGGAUCGGCUAACUCCGUACCAGCAGCCGCGGUAAUCUGAGCGGCUGGCAAGGC
rnacentral:rRNA from 1 species